rnacentral:rRNA from 1 species
UACGUAGGUGGCAAGCGUUAUCCGGAAUUACUGGGCGUAAAGCGCGCGUAGGCGGACCUGCAAGUCGGGGGUGAAAGCCCGAGGCUCAACCUCGGAACUGCCUUCGAUACUGCGGGUCUCGAGUCCGGGAGAGGUGAGUGGAAUUCCUAGUGUAGAGGUGAAAUUCGUAGAUAUUAGGAAGAACACCAGUGGCGAAGGCGGCUCACUGGCCCGGUACUGACGCUGAGGCGCGAAAGCGUGGGGAGCAAACAGG